GUUAUAGGGUCAAGCGAACAAGUGCAUGUGGUGGAUGCCUUGGCGAUCACAGGCGAUGAAGGACGCGGUAGCCUGCGAAAAGCUACGGGGAGCUGGCAAACGAGCUUUGAUCCGUAGAUGUCCGAAUGGGGAAACCCACUCCUUAUGGAGUAUCCAUGGCUGAAUACAUAGGCCAUGUGAAGCGAACGCGGUGAACUGAAACAUCUAAGUAACCGCAGGAAAAGAAAUCAACCGAGAUUCCCAAAGUAGUGGCGAGCGAAAUGGGAUGAGCCUUGUACUCUUUAUUUGUAU
rnacentral:rRNA from 1 species